CCUUGGCCUCCUAAAGUGGUAGGAUUACAGGCGUGCACCCCCGCAGCCAGCAGACAUCCUAUUUUUUUUUACUAGUGUGGAUCACUGUAAAGGCAACAUGGUUUAAGUGACAGCCACCAUGGUAGCUUCCAGGUGUUGUAUUUUCCAGAUCAUGGCAGGGCAGCAGCUUCCUUAGCAGUCCAGCUCUGCAGUGUGGCUGAGGUACUCUUAGGAAGUCAGCUGGAACCUGCUGACUUCCAACACGCUCUGUGAAUCUGCUAUUUACUACCAUAUCAUAUAUCCUUUUAGGAUUAAACUAGGUAGAACGUGGUACACUCUCUGUUUCACCCUGUCAAAUACAACUACGAAACCCAAAGCAGGAAUAUUUGGCUGUCAUAUCAAGUAAUUCAGACAACCAUCUAAAACACUUAUAAA